GAUGUGCCGUACAAGUGUCAUACAUCGGUGUGCGAUCAUGUUGCGGAAACGGAUAGCGUGUGCGUCGGAGCAGGAUGGAACAGCGUGAGAUGUGCCGUACAAGUGUCAUACAUCGGUGUGCAAUGCGUUGCGGAGUCGGAUAGCGUGUGCGUCGGGGCAGGAUGGAACAGCGUCGUCGCGAGGCUUCGGAGCGCGAACCCGCAACUUCAACAUUAGCCGCCCCCCACAAUUGGUGAAACU